GACGAACGCUGGCGGCGUGCUUAACACAUGCAAGUCGAACGGAAAGGCCCUGCUUUUGUGGGGUGCUCGAGUGGCGAACGGGUGAGUAACACGUGAGUAACCUGCCCUUGACUUUGGGAUAACUUCAGGAAACUGGGGCUAAUACCGGAUAGGAGCUCCUGCUGCAUGGUGGGGGUUGGAAAGUUUCGGCGGUUGGGGAUGGACUCGCGGCUUAUCAGCUUGUUGGUGGGGUAGUGGCUUACCAAGGCUUUGACGGGUAGCCGGCCUGAGAGGGUGACCGGCCACAUUGGGACUGAGAUACGGACCAGAGUCCUACGGGAGGCAGCAGGGGGGAAUAUUGCACAAUGGGAGGAAGCCUGAUGCAGCAACGCCGCGUGCGGGAUGACGGCCUUCGGGUUGUAAACCGCUUUCGCCUGUGACGAAGCGUGAGUGACGGUAAUGGGUAAAGAAGCACCGGCUAACUACGUG
rnacentral:rRNA from 1 species